rnacentral:rRNA from 1 species
AUUGAACGCUGGCGGCAUGCCUUACACAUGCAAGUCGAACGGUAACAGGUCUUCGGAUGCUGACGAGUGGCGAACGGGUGAGUAAUACAUCGGAACGUGCCUAGUAGUGGGGGAUAACUACUCGAAAGAGUGGCAAAUACCGCAUGAGAUCUACGGAUGAAAGCAGGGGAUCGCAAGACCUUGUGCUACUAGAGCGGCCGAUGGGAGAUUAGGUGGUUGGUGGGAUAAAGCUUACCAAACCGACGAUCUGUAGCUGGUCUGAGAGGACGAUCAGCCACACUGGGACUGAGACACGGCCCAGACUCCUACGGGAGGCAGCAGUGGGGAAUUUUGGACAAUGGGCGAAAGCCUGAUCCAGCAAUGCCGCGUGCAGGAUGAAGGCCUUCGGGUUGUAAACUGCUUUUGUACGGAACGAAAAGCCCCGGGUUAAUACCCUGGGGUCAUGACGGUACCGUAAGAAUAAGCGCCGGCUAACUACGUGCCAGCCGCCGCGGUAA